AGAGUGAACGCUGGCGGCAGGCCUAACACAUGCAAGUCGAACGGCAGCACAGCAGUAGCAAUACUGUGGGUGGCGAGUGGCGGACGGGUGAGGAAUACAUCGGAAUCUACCUUGUCGUGGGGGAUAACGUAGGGAAACUUACGCUAAUACCGCAUACGAACUAUGGUUGAAAGCGGCGGACCGCAAGGCGUCGCGCGAUUGGAUGAGCCGAUGUCCGAUUAGCUAGUUGGACGGGUAAAGGCCCACAAGGCGAACGAUCGGUAGCUGGUCUGAGAGGAUGAUCAGCCACACUGGAACUGGAGACACGGUCCAGACUCCUACGGGAGGCAGCAGGUGGGGAAUAUUGGACAAGUGGGCGCAAGCCUGAUCCAGACCAUGCCGCGUGUGUGAAAGGAACGGACCUCGGGUUAGUUAAGACGUACUUUAGGUUAGGGUAAGAAAAGAACGACGUUACAACGUACCCGGGUUUACGUGAACGGUACCGAAAGAAACGUAAGACACCGGACC
rnacentral:rRNA from 1 species